AUUGAACGCUGGCGGCGUGCUUAACACAUGCAAGUCGAGCGGCAGCGGGCCCGCAAGGGUGCCGGCGAGCGGCGGACGGGUGAGCAAUACAUAGGAAUCUGCCUCAGAGCAGGGGAUAGCCAGGGGAAACCCUGAUUAAUACCGCAUGACGUCGAGAGACCAAAGUGGGGGAUCGUAAGACCUCACACUCUGAGAUGAGCCUAUGUCGGAUUAGCUAGUUGGCGGGGUAACGGCCCACCAAGGCGACGAUCCGUAGCUGGUCUGAGAGGACGAUCAGCCACACCGGGAACUGAGACACGGUCCGGACUCCUACGGGAGGCACAGUGGGGAAUNUUGGACAAUGGGCGAAAGCCUGAUCCAGCGACGCCGCGUGGGUGAAGAAGGCC
rnacentral:rRNA from 1 species